CCUACGGGAGGCAGCAGUGGGGAAUAUUGGACAAUGGGCGAAAGCCUGAUCCAGCCAUGCCGCGUGUGUGAAGAAGGCCUUCGGGUUGUAAAGCACUUUCAGUGGGGAAGAAAGCCUUGGGGCUAAUACCCUCGAGGAAGGACAUCACCCACAGAAGAAGCACCGGCUAACUCCGUGCCAGCAGCCGCGGUAAUACGGGGGUGCGAGCGUUAAUCGGAAUUACUGGGCGUAAAGCGCGCGUAGGCGGUCUGAUAAGCCGGUUGUGAAAGCCCCGGGCUCAACCUGGGAACGGCAUCCGGAACGGUCAGGCUAGAGUGCAGGAGAGGAAGGUAGAAUUCCCGGUGUAGCGGUGAAAUGCGUAGAGAUCGGGAGGAAUACCAGUGGCGAAGGCGGCCUUCUGGACUGACACUGACGCUGAGGUGCGAAAGCGUGGGUAGCAAACAGGAUUAGAUACCCUUGUAGUC
rnacentral:rRNA from 1 species